CCCUUAGAUGUUCUGGGCCGCACGCGUGCUACACUGAGUGGAUCAGCGGGUCAGGUUGCGCGAAAGUGUUUCCUAAUCUUGAAAUCCGCUCGUGAUGGGGAUUGACGGUUGCAAUUUUCCGUCAUGAACGAGGAAUACCUUGUAAGCGCGGGUCAUCAUCCCGCGCUGAAUACGUCCCUGCCCUUUGUACACACCGCCCGUCGCUCCUGCCGAUUGAGUGGUCCGGUGAGGCUUUGGGAUCUGAGCAAAGAGAGCGUUUCGCUCGUUUUGCCCGGAAAACUCAGUCGAACCUUAUCAUUUAGAGGAAGGAGAAGUCGUAACA
rnacentral:rRNA from 1 species